rfam:Triticum aestivum genome assembly, contig: Triticum_aestivum_CS42_TGACv1_scaffold_570040_7AS
AAAGUACUCUCUCUGUCCAAAAAUUCUUGUCAUCAAAAUGGACAAAAAUGAUGUAUCUAGAACUAAAAUACAUCUAGAUACAUCCAUUUUUAUUUAUUUUGAUGAUAAGUAUUUCCAAACGGAGGAAGUAGUAU